UUUAGGGGGUUUCGGAGAAUCUCAGGUGCGUUACAUAGGGUCCGAGUGGGUUUUAGGGCGAUUUCAGAGGCAUUUCAAGAAGUUUCAGAGCAUUUCCGGCAAGAUUCAGAGGCAUUACGGAAGCGUUACAGAGGAGUUUUCGGGGGUUUCGGACCGUCUGAAGUGCGUUACAUAGGGUCCGAGGGGACUCAGAGGCAUUUCAGGAAGUUUCAGAGCAUUUUCGGCAGGAUUCAAAGGCGUUACGGAAGAGUUUUCGGGGGUUUCGGAGCCACUCAGGUGCGUUAUAUGGGGUCCAAGGGGUUUUAGAGGCAUUUCAGGAAAUUUCAGAACGUUUUCGGUGGGAUACAGAGGAUGAGUUUUCGGGGGUUUCAGAGCCUCUUAGAUGCGUGGCAUUGUAUUAUAGUGUAUUAUUGUACUUGCCUCACAAUAUACAAAUUCAUGCAAUGGCAGGCAAAGAAAGCCCUUCAAUUAAUAACUGUGAAAGUGCUCAAGAACACUAAGUUGAAGCGAAGCAGGCCAAGUCCCAGUGGGGACGUAGAGCCAUAAAAGAAGAAGUAGAUGGGUGGCAUGGCGUUUAAGGGGAAUUUAAGAAGAAGCAUUUGAGGAAGUUUCAGAGCAUUUUCGGCGGGAUUUAGAGGUGUUAUGGAAGCGUUACGGAGGAGUUUUCGAAGGUUUCGGAGCCUCUCAGGUGCGUUACAUGGGGUCCGAGGGGGUUGAAGGGGGAUUUUAGAGGCAUUUCACCAAGUUUCAGAGCAUAUUAGGCGGGAUUCAGAGGCGUUACGGAAGCGUUAAGGAUGAGUUUUCGGGAGUUCACGAUUCCUACUCCUACUAGUGUUUCUCCUUUUUUUUCAUCAAAAAUCGAGAUACUGAAAAUCGAAACCUCACGAAACUUACCCUUCUGCUGCAACACACUUUUUAAUCCACGAUGCUGCACAAAAAAAACACAAAUCUUAUCUUUCCCCACGCAAAACUUUUCCGUUCAAACAAUGAAAAUUCAAACAAUUCACAAUUUUCACAUUUCUCCAUACUGUUUUAUUCACAAUUCCCCCAACAAACUCCUUUCCCCCAACAAUACAUCCCGUCCAUCAUACAAUUACAUCCGUCCGCUUCAAGAUCCGUUCACAAACUGCCGAGUGCCGCUUCGCGUCCAUCUGCUCAUUCAUUCGCUUUUCGUUCAUCCUCCUUCUCUUUCUCUGCAUCGAGCCGCCAACGCAGCGCUGGUGGGCUUUUCGAACACUCUGCGCUAUCGUGUACUCCGAAUUCCAAUGCUCGUGUUCGAAAGGUCAAUAGAGCUGUGCAACCUCCUCCGUAGGUACACUCAAAUAAAUAAGAGUGCGUAAAUCAUGUACAUUUGAAUUAAAUAUCAACAUUAUCAGGUCCAUAUCACUACAGAGUCAUGACUUCGAGUCUCACCGAGAGGACGAGUAACUUUUUCGCAAAUUCCACUCCAAUUUGUCCAUAUUUCUCAUUCACGCCAGUAUUUGUAAAGUCUAGCUUUUGGUAUUAUUCACAUCUGAAACGAGACUCGCGAAGACGGUCUUCUUUUCCUCCACUUUGUUAUUUUUUCUUCUUCCUAUCUGUGUUGACAUUAUGUUUUGGGCUGGUGGUUCAAACACGUACGUGACCGCAUCACCUCACAUGCAGUGUGACUGAAUCCCAUUCACGCACAAAAUCAUGUUGAGGUGAAAUUUUGCAUCGCCAACAAUCGCCAAGUGCCGGGGCCCGUGGCGUAGUUGGUCACACGUUCGCUUUAUAUGCGGAUGGUCAUGGGUUUGAUUCCCAGCCCCGGCACUUGCAAUUUUUCGUCAGUUGCUUUUCCCCCGAGAGCAACUGACACUGACCCUCUUCUGAGCCCCAUGGCUCAAACGGACCCGGAUACCUGGACAUCGGCGAGCUGCUACUCAUAAUGGACCCCCAAUCGGACUGGAAAAGAACAACGGCCAUCCAUCAUCAUCCUUGUGCUCAUCAUUCUACUAGGUAUAAAGUAGAAAAAGUGAAAGCAGCAGAAAGGCAACCAGUUCGAUAAAGUAGAAUAGAAUCUAGGCGCUGUACAAAAAUGUAAGUGCAGCUGUCAAUUGAAAUUGCUCACGUAGUGCCCCAGUGGACAAUAGAGCUGUAAAUUAGGUUAAGUGAUUAAGAAUAAAAAAAAAAACAAUCGCCAAGCAAAGUAAUCAUUGGAAUAUUUUGUUUUCAAUUUAUUUUUGACAGUACAGGAGAAGAAAAUGCUGCUCGGAGUGAAUUUUGGCUUCAGAAUUUAUCUCGGAUAGCAAUAUUUUCCUCGUUUUAGGUAACGUAAUCAAACGGGCUACAACUGACAGCUCAGUUGGGCUGCACUUGACAUUGCUUUUUUUCCUCUUCGCGAGUCUCGUCUCAGAUUCACAUCUAGCGUGACGAAUGCUCAAUAGCGAAUUCCCCUUUGCUUCUUUUGGAUGGAUCUAUGACAUUUGGUUGAAAGACAUUUGCUCGAAUGACGUUUGGUCGAAUGACGUUUGAUCGAAAGUCGAAGCACAUUUUGUAGAAGAGGAAACAUAUGACAUUUAGUCGAAUGGGUAUCUGGCACUGCCAGCAUGGUACCCUGGUACCAGCGAAACUGAAAUGGUGGUAUCGCCGCAAAGUUCGAUUCUUUUCGUAUGGAAGUGAGCGUAGAGGACACUGGAGAAAAAUGUUUCCGCUCACUCACCAAUAUCGACGGCCUAACAGAGCAAAUAACUAAAACCAUACGAAAAGAAUAUCCCAAUAUACACAUAGCACACAAGCAGGCAAAAACAGUUGGCUCCAUUCUACCCAUGGUGAAAGACAGAAUCAGCCAAGGGGAAAAGAGCAAUGUAGUGUACAGGAUAGACUGCGCAGACUGUGAUGCAUGUUAUAUUGGUAUGACAACAACAAAACUGAAGAGCAGGCUCUCUGGCCAUCGAUCAAACGUGAGGAAGCUGCAAAAGCUGAGAGAGGAGGGACACACAAACAGGGACGUUGCAAUAGCAGAAAUCAGAGAGAAGACAACAUUAGUUAACCACGCAGCAGCAAUGGAACACUCGUUUAAGUUAGAUGAAGUAGUAAUAGUAGACAAGACACACAAAUCAACCAACCUCCAAUUCCUAGAGAGUUGUCACAUAUACAACACUGAAAAAACAGUAAACAAACGAUCGGACACAGAAAAUCUACACGAAACCUAUGCAGGAAUACUACACACAUUUAAAAAUGCUCAAAAUAGAAUCAAAACAAAUCACACCAAUAGACCUAACACAAACAGACCAUAGACCAUAAUAUUAUUGACACACUUCCAAACUAGAUAAUUCAUCCAAAGUUGACCCUACUAAAUUAAUGCUUUCCGUAAUGCUACCACCCCCAAACAAAUUGUAAGUACACUUAAAAAAUAUUUCACACAAAUCACACCAUAAUCUUUGUAAAAUAUCCACAACAGACUCUAGCAAUAUUGACAUUUCAACGUUUAACAAAUCCGACUAGACAAAAAAACGAUACAAAUUGAGUCCCUGAAGAAGCUUCCAUACGAAGCGAAACGUUGGAUGAAAAUUUAA